GAUGAACGCUGGCGGCGUGCCUAAUACAUGCAAGUCGAGCGAACGUACUAGAAGCUUGCUUCUCUGAUGUUAGCGGCGGACGGGUGAGUAACACGUGGAUAACCUCCCUAUAAGACUGGUAUAACUUCGGGAAACCGGCGCUAAUACCGUAUAAUAUUUUGAACCGCAUGGUUCAAAAGUGAAAGACGUUCUUGCUGUCACUUAUCGAUGGAUCCGCGCUGCAUUAGCUAGUUGGUAAGGUAACGGCUUACUAAGGCAACGAUGCGUAGCCGACCUGAGAGAGGGAUAGGCGACACGGGAGGUGAGACACGGUCAAGGCGACUAAGGGAGGCAGCAGAAGGGAAUGGGCGGCAAUGGGCGAGAGCAUGACGGAGUAAGGCAGAGUGAGUGAUAGAGGUGCUGGGAGAGGAAAAAUGGGUUAUGAGGGAAGAACAUAUGUGAAAAUAAAAGUGCACAAAGUGACGGUACCUAAUCAGAAAGCCACGGCUAACUACGUG
rnacentral:rRNA from 1 species